rnacentral:rRNA from 1 species
CGAUUAAAGCACCUUCGGGUGUGUAUAAAGUGGCGAACGGCUGAGUAACACGUGGGCAACCUGCCCCUCUCAUUGGGAUAGCCACGGGAAACCGUGGAUAAUACCGAAUACUUCGAGACUUCCGCAUGGAAGACUCGAGAAAGCUCCGGCGGAGAGGGAUGGGCCCGCGGCCUGUUAGCUUGUUGGUGGGGUAACGGCCUACCAAGGCAAUGAUGGGUAGCUGGGUUGAGAGACCGACCAGCCAGAUUGGGACUGAGACACGGCCCAGACUCCUACGGGAGGCAGCAGUGGGGAAUCUUGCACAAUGGGCGAAAGCCUGAUGCAGCGACGCCGCGUGCGGGAUGAAGGCCUUCGGGUUGUAACCGCUUUCAGCAGGGACGAGGCGAAAGUGACGGUACCUGCAGAAGAAGCCCCGGCUAACUACGUGCCAGCAGCCGCGGUAAUACGUAGGGGGCAAGCGUUAUCCGGAUUCAUUGGGCGUAAAGCGCUCGUAGGCGGUCUGUUAGGUCGGGAGUUAAAUCCGGGGGCUCAACCCCCGUUCGCUCCCGAUACCGGCAGACUUGAGUUUGGUAGGGGAAGGUGGAAUUCCUAGUGUAGCGGUGGAAUGCGCAGAUAUUAGGAAGAACACCAGUGGCGAAGGCGGCCUUCUGGGCCAUAACUGACGCUGAGGAGCGAAAGCUAGGGGAGCAAACAGGAUUAGAUACCCUGGUAGUCCUAGCCGUAAACGAUGGACACUAGGUGUGGGGGAAUAUUUCUUCCGUGCC